rnacentral:rRNA from 1 species
GAUGAACGCUAGCGGCAGGCCUAACACAUGCAAGUCGAACGGUAACAUGUCUAGCUUGCUAGACGAUGACGAGUGGCGCACGGGUGAGUAACGCGUAUGAAACCUACCUUAUACAGGGGUAUAGCCCGAAGAAAUUUGGAUUAAUCCCCCAUAGUAUUGUAGAGAGGCAUCUCUUUACGAUUAAAGCAUUAGCGGUAUAAGAUGGUCAUGCGUGACAUUAGUUAGUUGGUAAGGUAACGGCUUACCAAGACAUCGAUGUCUAGGGGUUCUGAGAGGAAGGUCCCCCACACUGGUACUGAGACACGGACCAG